rnacentral:rRNA from 1 species
GACGAACGCUGGCGGCGUGCUUAACACAUGCAGGUCGAACGGAAAGGCCCUGCUUUUGUGGGGUGCUCGAGUGGCGGACGGGUGAGUAACACGUGAGUAACCUGCCCUUGACUUUGGGAUAACUUCAGGAAACUGGGGCUAAUACCGGAUAGGAGCUCCUGCUGCAUGGUGGGGGUUGGAAAGUUUCGGCGGUUGGGGAUGGACUCGCGGCUUAUCAGCUUGUUGGUGGGGUAGUGGCUUACCAAGGCUUUGACGGGUAGCCGGCCUGAGAGGGUGACCGGCCACAUUGGGACUGAGAUACGGCCCAGACUCCUACGGGAGGCAGCAGUGGGGAAUAUUGCACAAUGGGCGGAAGCCUGAUGCAGCAACGCCGCGUGCGGGAUGACGGCCUUCGGGUUGUAAACCGCUUUCGCCUGUGACGAAGCGUGAGUGACGGUAAUGGGUAAAGAAGCACCGGCUAACUACGUG